CUACAUUUAACAUUCUGUUGCUGUCUGCUGUCUCCUAGGUACAGCUACAUUUAACAUUCUGUUGCUGUCUGCUGUCUCCUAGGUACAGCUACAUUUAACAUUCUGUUUGAAGCUUCUCUUGUCUCCUGGUUGGGUGGAGAACUAGCUGAUUGGUGUACAGGCAUGUCAAUUAGGGAGUUAAAGCCAUUUCUGAUCGAUGUGUCAAGAGUUAAGAACACAAACUUUUUCAGAGAAUUAAAACAAGAAUUAUAACAACUGAAUAACACAGACAGGGAUGCAGAAAAUACCAAGGAAAUACUUUUAUUUGGACCUGAACAGGGAAAAACCAACCUGUUAUUGUUCUGUUUGCCUCAGUGGAGGAUUGCCUCACCUCCAUAGCAACACACGAUGCCCACAGAUGUUUUCAGUUGGAGGCUUGUUGGAGCUUGUGGCUUCAUUGCAGUGUCUCUUAGAUUGUGGUAUGGUCCAUGAUAUUGCGAUAGUCAAACUUGCAAUACCCUAACUCAAACAAGAUGAGAAUGUUUUGGUAUCGGCGCAAAGCAGUCUAAGGCACUGCGUCUCAGUGCUAGGGGCGUCACUACACACCCCGGUUCGAUUCCAGGCUGUAUCACAACCGGCCGUGAUUUUGGAGUUCCAUAGGGCGGCGCACAAUUGGCCGAGCGUCGUCAGGGUUUGGCCCGGGGUCGGCCGUCAUUGUAAAUGAGGAUUUGCCUGGUUAAAUAAAUCAAAUAAGCCCACUUAUGAAUCAAAAUACUGUAGUUAUUGGAAAACAAAGGCAUGCAUCCCAAUUGGCACCCUAUUCCCUAUGUAGUGCACUACUAUUGACCCCAAAUUGGCACCCUAUUCCCUAUAUAGUGCUCUCCUAUUGACCCCAAAUGGCACCCUAUUCCCUAUAUAGUGCUCUCCUAUUGACCCCAAAUGGCACCCUAUUCCCUUUAUAGUGCACUACUAUUGACCCCAAUUGGCACCCUAUUCCCUUUAUAGUGCACUACUAUUGACCCCAAUUGGCACCCUAUUCCCUAUAUAGUCUACUACUAUUGACCCCAAUUGGCACCCUAUUCCCUAUAUAGUCUACUACUAUUGACCCCAAUUGGCACCCUAUUCCCAAUAUAGUCUACUACUAUUGACCCCAAUUGGCACCCUAUUCCCUUUAUAGUCUACUACUAUUGACCCCAAUUGGCACCCUAUUCCCUAUAUAGUGCACUACUGUAUCUAUGCUGCUUCCUGCUUGGAGGCCCCUGUCAGGAAACCCCCUCAGCUCUCCCCGGAUGGCUGGACCUCUGUUACAGAACUACCUGGUCGUUCAUAGAGACCUCUCUGUUACAGAACUACCUGGUCGUUCAUAGAGACCUCUCCUCUCUGUUACAGAACUAC
ensembl:lncRNA